rnacentral:rRNA from 1 species
GAUGAACGCUGGCGGCGUGCCUAAUACAUGCAAGUCGAGCGAACAGAUGAGGAGCUUGCUCCUCUGACGUUAGCGGCGGACGGGUGAGUAACACGUGGAUAACCUACCUAUAAGACUGGGAUAACUUCGGGAAACCGGAGCUAAUACCGGAUAAUAUCUUGAACCGCAUGGUUGAAUAGUGAAAGACGGUUUUGCUGUCACUUAUAGAUGGAUCCGCGCCGCAUUAGCUAGUUGGUAAGGUAACGGCUUACCAAGGCAACGAUGCGUAGCCGACCUGAGAGGGUGAUCGGCCACACUGGAACUGAGACACGGUCCAGACUACUACGGGAGGCAGCAGUAGGGAAUCGUCCGCAACGGGCGAAAGCCUGACGGAGCAACGCCGCGUGAGUGAUGAAGGUCUUCGGAUCGUAAAACUCUGUUAUGAGUGAAGAACAAAUGUGUAAGUAACUAUGCACGUCUUGACGGUACCGAAUCAGAAAGCCACGGCUAACUACGUG